GUCGAGAAUCUUUCACAAUGGGGGCAACCCUGAUGGAGCGACGCCGCGUGGAGGAUAAGGUCUUCGGAUUGUAAACUCCUGUCAUGCGUGAACAAGGUUGCUUGGUUAAUACCUGGGCAAAUUGAUGGUAACGCAAGAGGAAGAGACGGCUAACUCUGUGCCAGCAGCCGCGGUAAUACAGAGGUCUCAAGCGUUGUUCGGAAUCACUGGGCGUAAAGGGUGCGUAGGUGGCGUGGUAAGUCAGAUGUGAAAGCCCGGGGCUCAACCUCGGAACUGCAUCCGAUACUGCCAUGCUAGAGUACUGGAGAGGUGACUAGAAUUCUAGGUGUAGCAGUGAAAUGCGUAGAUAUCGAGAGGAAUACCAAAGGCGUAGGCAGGUCACUGGACAGUUACUGACACUGAGGCACGAAGGCCAGGGGAGCGAACGGGAUUAGAUACCCCAGUAGUCC
rnacentral:rRNA from 1 species